UGACUAGAUAUAUACUCAUCU
rnacentral:miRNA from 1 species